CCCUGUGCUGGGUAAAAGAGAGAAAAUGAGGAACAAAAAGCACACCCAGAAUCUGAAACUAAAAUUAACUUUUUCCAGCAAUGUCCUAUUGUGUCCGGAAUUGGUGGGUUCUUGGUCUCACUGACUUCAAGAAUGAAGCCGCGGACCCUCGCG
rnacentral:lncRNA from 1 species